rnacentral:rRNA from 1 species
GACAGAGGGUGCAAACGUUGUCCGGAAUUACUGGGCGUAAAGCGUGUGUAGGUGGCUGCGCAAGUCGGAUGUGAAAGCCCUGGGCUCAACUCAGGAAGUGCACCCGAUACUGCGUAGCUCGAGUACCGGAGAGGUUGGUAGAAUUCUCGGUGUAGAGGUGAAAUUCGUAGAUAUCGAGAGGAAUACCUGUGGCGAAGGCGGCCAACUGGACGAGUACUGACACUGAGACGCGAAAGCGUGGGGAGCGAACAGG